CACUGACUUCCGAGAGAGAACAAGGAGCUACCUGAAUCCUACCCUUUUCCAGCAGAGCUCACCUUAUCAGGACAGAUUCCGAGGACUUGGUGAGUGUGGAACAUGACGACUCUCCAACCUGAUCUUCUGCCUUGCAGGCACAUUGGCUCUUUAACUCGAGGACACCUCAUUUUGAUGAAGAGCUGGCUUCUUUCAAGGUGACCAAAAGUGUCAUUCCUGGACAUAGCACAGAGCAAACCAUUUGCUGAGGUUCGGGGAGAGGCUUCAGUGGGUCACACACGGAGAGCACAGUGGACUAGGCAGAACUUGAGCCUGGCUGUGGAGCACGCCAGAGGUCAUGCAGCACCCCCAGCUGAAACUGUCAUCCGAAGCAUCGGACAAGGUCACCUCACAAAGGGAAAUGCAAGACCUUUCUGUGUGCUCAUUACCACAUUUGCUCUUGGGUUCACACACAUGCUGGAGGCCGAAUGUCUGGGCACCGUGGUGGAUGCAACGUUAAAGACACCCCCGCCCCCCAGAAGUCCAGUGCAAUGAAAGUGGACACACCUGUAAAUCCUCUUUUUU